GGGCCCGUAGUCUAGCGGUAUGAUGCCCGCCUCACGCGCGGGUGGUCCCGGGUUCAAAUCCCGGCGGGCCCA
rfam:Pyrobaculum aerophilum str. IM2, complete genome.